rfam:Tropilaelaps mercedesae isolate Wuxi-XJTLT scaffold0000000127, whole genome shotgun sequence.
GUCAGAAUGGCCGAGUGGUCCAAGGCGGCAGAUUUAAGUUCUGCUCCUCGUAAGAGGGCGUGGGUUCGAACCCCACUUCUGACA